rnacentral:rRNA from 1 species
ACGUAGGUGGCAAGCGUUGUCCGGAUUUACUGGGUGUAAAGGGCGUGUAGCCGGGAAGGCAAGUCAGAUGUGAAAUCCACGGGCUUAACUCGUGAACUGCAUUUGAAACUGUUUUUCUUGAGUAUCGGAGAGGCAAUCGGAAUUCCUAGUGUAGCGGUGAAAUGCGUAGAUAUUAGGAGGAACACCAGUGGCGAAGGCGGAUUGCUGGACGACAACUGACGGUGAGGCGCGAAAGCGUGGGGAGCAAACAG